rnacentral:rRNA from 1 species
UGGGGAAUAUUGCACAAUGGAGGGAACUCUGAUGCAGCGACGCCGCGUGAACGAAGAAGGCUUUCGAGUCGUAAAGUUCUUUUAUAUGGGAAGAUAAUGACGGUACCAUAAGAAGAAGCCCCGGCUAACUACGUGCCAGCAGCCGCGGUAAUACGUAGGGGGCUAGCGUUGACCGGAAUCACUGGGCGUAAAGGGUUCGCAGGCGGAAAUGCAAGUCAGGUGUAAAAGGCAGUAGCUUAACUACUGUAAGCAUUUGAAACUGCAUAUCUUGAGAAGAGUAGAGGUAAGUUGAAUUUUUAGUGUAGCGGUGAAAUGCGUAGAUAUUAAAAAGAAUACCGGUGGCGAAGGCGACUUACUGGGCUCAUUCUGACGCUGAGGAACGAAAGCGUGGGUAGCAAACAGG